rnacentral:rRNA from 1 species
AGAACGAACGCUGGCGGCAUGCCUAAUACAUGCAAGUCGAACGAACACUUCGGUGUUAGUGGCGCACGGGUGCGUAACGCGUGGGAAUCUGCCCUUGGGUUCGGAAUAACAGUUGGAAACGACUGCUAAUACCGGAUGAUAUCGAAAGAUCAAAGAUUUAUCGCCCAGGGAUGAGCCCGCGUAGGAUUAGCUAGUUGGUGAGGUAAAGGCUCACCAAGGCGACGAUCCUUAGCUGGUCUGAGAGGAUGAUCAGCCACACUGGGACUGAGACACGGCCCAGACUCCUACGGGAGGCAGCAGUAGGGAAUAUUGGACAAUGGGCGCAAGCCUGAUCCAGCAAUGCCGCGUGAGUGAUGAAGGCCGUUAAGGGUUGUAAAGCUCUUUUAACCCGAGAAUGAAUAAUGAACAGUAUCGGGAAGAAAUAACGCCCCGGACUAACUCCGUAGCCACGCAGCCCGGACGGU